UGAGGAAUUCAGGGCUCAAGAUGGCUCCCUU
rnacentral:piRNA from 1 species